GCAACAUGGGACCUAGUUUUAAUUUAAUUCUCUCUCUCUCUCUCUCUCUCUCUGUGUGUGUGUGUGUGUGAGAGAGAGAGAGAGAGAGAGAGAGAGAGAGACUCUGUUUAAAGUUGUUUGUUCUCCG